GAGUGUGGUAGAAAAAAAAAAAAAAAAAAAAAAAAAAAA
rnacentral:ribozyme from 1 species